AAUAUUGGUCAAUGGAGGCAACUCUGAACCAGCCAUGCCGCGUGCAGGAAGACUGCCUUAUGGGUUGUAAACUGUUUUUAUACAGGAAGAAAGUUAUCCAUGUGUGGAUAAGUGUCGGUACUGUAAUAAGGACCGGCUAAGUCAUGCCAGCAGCCGCGGUAAUACGGAGGGUCCAAGCGUUAUCUAAUAUCAAUGGGUUGAAAGGAAGCGUAGGCAGGCGAUUAAAUCAGUGGUGAGAUACCACAGAGGGAUCAACGAACUGCUUGCAAUAGAGGUUGUCUUGAGUUAGUGCGAAGUAGGAGGUAGAAUUUGUGUAGCGGUGAAAUACAUAGAUAUUAUAUAAAAUAACACCAGUGAAGGCGGAGUAUUAAUUGUUAAAUGACGAUAAGGAAGGAAAGAAGGGGGAGGGAAAAGGAUUAGAUACACGGUGGUACA
rnacentral:rRNA from 1 species